UACGUAGGGGGCAAGCGUUGUCCGGAAUCAUUGGGCGUAAAGAGCGUGUAGGCGGCUUGGUAAGUCCGCUGUGAAAGUCCAGGGCUCAACCCUGGAAAGCCGGUGGAUACUGUCGGACUAGAGUACGGAAGAGGCGAGUGGAAUUCCUGGUGUAGCGGUGAAAUGCGCAGAUAUCAGGAGGAACACCAAUUGCGAAGGCAGCUCGCUGGGACGUUACUGACGCUGAGACGCGAAAGCGUGGGAGCAAACAGG
rnacentral:rRNA from 1 species